UAGCAGCUGUACAGAUAUCUAUCUAUCUAGAAAUUCUAUUAUACAUGAAAUUACAAAAUCAAAUCAAGCUAUUCUUUAUAUUCUUUUAUCCUUCACCCUUUCGGCAUCUGUGAGGCUUCGGUUUGUGGUAGUAGUAUCGAUGUUUGAGAGAUUCUUUGAUAGCAGUGGUGGUAGUGGUGGUGGUGGUGAUGAUGGUGAUAUUCUUAAUGGCUAAUCUCAUCAUGAUGGUUCUUAUAGAAGGUUCUUUGAUGAUUGAUUCUUCAGAAGAUUCUUCAGUAGAUGGAGGAGUAGUGACAGUGACUUGUACAGUCAGUUUCAUUUCAUUUUUCUCUUGUUUGAUAUUCUCUUGAUCUCUUCUUGACAGAGAAUCAGAGUUUUCAGCUGGUUUUUGUAAGAAUUUUCUCAUUCUUCUGUUCAAAUAUUCAUUCAUUCUCUUCAGACAUUCAUCUUGCUUUUUCAAAUAUUCCAUCAUCAUCUGUAUCAAGAUAUCGGUCGUUGUUGGGUCCAGUGACUCAGAGGUAGUGGU
rnacentral:sRNA from 1 species